UAGGGAAUAUUGCGCAAUGGAGGAAACUCUGACGCAGCGACGCCGCGUGAGCGAUGAAGGCUUUCGGGUCGUAAAGCUCUGUCGGGAGGGACGAAACACGAUUUGGCUAACAUCCAAGUCGCUUGACGGUACCUCCAGAGGAAGCACCGGCUAACUACGUGCCAGCAGCCGCGGUAAUACGUAGGGUGCUAGCGUUGUUCGGAAUUAUUGGGCGUAAAGAGCGUGUAGGUGGUUUUGUAAGUCGGAUGUGAAAUCCCUGGGCUUAACCGAGGAAGUGCAUCUGAAACUACAUGGCUAGAGGAUGGCAGAGGGAAGUGGAAUUCCUAGUGUAGAGGUGAAAUUCGUAGAUAUUAGGAGGAAUACCGGUGGCGAAGGCGGCUUCCUGGACCAUUCCUGACACUGAGACGCGAAAGCGUGGGUAGCAAACAGGAUUAGAUACCCCAGUAGUCCCUGAGCGGGCUGGCAAGGCGCAU
rnacentral:rRNA from 1 species